UGCCGAUAUAACCGCUCGGGUCUCGCAUACCCUAUGUCUUGGGGGUUGCACUCUUAACCCCGCUGCAUAACACUCCCUAGCUACCCUCUGAUCGGCUCGGAUCGUCUGGAUUGUGUCGUCGUCUGCCGGAUACUUCAUUGCUAAGUGCGGGGUAGACACUAUUGCUCCAAACGCGUUGAGACAUGGCCGUCCCAACAACACGUUGUAAGAAGUGUCCGCCUCUACCAGGAGGAAACACACUCUUAGCUCUUUCGCCCCCAUCUCCGCCCCCAAGCUUACCUUUAAAUCCACGUACCCCCUUGUGUCAACCCGUUCUCCUGCGAAUCCCAAGAUCUACUCGUUAAACGGCAUGAUGGACUCAUCCGGUAUUUCCAUUUGCUGGAAGGUCUUCCAGUAUAGGAUAUUGGCCGAACUCCCCUGAUCGACCAGCACCUUUCCCACACUGUACCGAG
rnacentral:lncRNA from 1 species